GAUCAUGGCUCAGGAUGAACGCUAGCGGCAGGCUUAACACAUGCAAGUCGAGGGGCAGCGGGAUGUAGCAAUACAUUGCCGGCGACCGGCGGAUGGGUGCGUAACGCGUAUGCAACCUACCUUAUACAGGGGAAUAACCUUUCGAAAGGGAGACUAACACCCCAUAGUAUUGAUUUAAGGCAUCUUAGAUUAAUUAAAUAUUUAUAGGUAUAAGAUGGGCAUGCGUAUGAUUAGCUAGUUGGUAAGGUAACGGCUUACCAAGGCGACGAUCAUUAGGGGUUCUGAGAGGAAGGUCCCCCACACUGGUACUGAGACACGGACCAGACUCCUACGGGAGGCAGCAGUGAGGAAUAUUGGUCAAUGGGCGCAAGCCUGAACCAGCCAUGCCGCGUGCAGGAAGACGGCCUUAUGGGUUGUAAACUGCUUUUACAUAAGACUAACCGUAUAUUUGCGAAUAUACCUGAAUGUAUUAUGAGAAUAAGGAUCGGCUAACUCCGUGCCAGCCGCCGC
rnacentral:rRNA from 1 species